UACGUAGGCAGCAAGCGUUGUUCGGAGUUACUGGGCGUAAAGCGUGCGCAGGCGGUUAUGUAAGACAGAUGUGAAAUGCCCGGGCUUAACCUGGGAACUGCAUUUGUGACUGCAUGGCUAGAGUUUGGCAGAGGGGGGUAGAAUUCCACGUGUAGCAGUGAAAUGCGUAGAUAUGUGGAGGAACACCGAUGGCGAAGGCAGCCCCCUGGGUCAAGACUGACGCUCAUGCACGAAAGCGUGGGGAGCAAACAGG
rnacentral:rRNA from 1 species